UAGCCGUUAGCUUCUUCACCACUGGAGCAGCUAGUUCGGAAAUGUGGAAAGCUAUUGCAGAUAAGAACUGAAAUCUACUUCAAAAACCACAAGCUAUCCAUUUAAAGCCAUGUUGCCCCGAGCUUCAUGUAAAAGUCUUUUCUUUCACUCUUUCUUUACCCCACAUUGCCAAACAAGCUAAGCUGGCUCAGUUUUUCCCCAGCAGCGCUUUUACAUGUUUGUGCUUACAUCAGCUACUUCACAAAACGUGUCACUUCAGAGUCCUUCGCUAAGCCCGCAGAACACAACAGAGACAAGACCGGAGUUCCCAUUGAGAAGCCAAGAGAGGUGAUCCUCAACUCUAGGAGAAGAUGCAAAUGUCUUAAACAAUUCAAGUCGAGUCUCCAGCUCUGUAACGCGAUCCCCCAGACGAGCCAACAUCCAGGAGCAGAACAAUGACACGUCACGCCCCCGCACGUCUCAGAGCUGCAGGAGUCACUGACGCCUCCAGCCUCACAUCCACCCCACACGUCUGCCCGAACGCAGCAGCCUGGCAGCCGCUUUCAUGGCAACAUCUUCACCCCCACAGAGCACGCCGAGAGUCUGCUCCUUCUGUGUCAUUCAGCGCGUUGUGAGUCGCACACAGAACGAAAACAGGUUGACCUUUUAGCGUCCGAGUGUCUUGACACUCGUUCGCCGUGCUCUGAAGGGUUGCUGGUGCCGCGGCAUCUCGUCUUAUCUCCGGCCAACACGCCUUGCUGUGACGAGGAGCGCCUCUGCCUCAGACAGGGCCAAGCUGCUUUUGCUGCUGCUGCUGCUUCUGGGCAGGGAACCAGAGAAGGGGUGGAAAGGAAAGAGAAAGAGGGGCGAAGGGGGUUGAGGUUAACUGCAGCAGGGGCGGCGCACAAACCGAGAAGGGGGGCGGAGGGGGAGCUCCCCCCCUCAUCCACAAGCGCCUGACGACCACUGACAGCUGAGCUUCCCCUCUCUGCGGGGGUUUCAUGACCACAAACUGACACUCCCUCACACACACGCACACACACACACACACGCAUACACACGCAUUGCUCCUGUUUAGCUGUCUUCUUUAACCCAUUGGUGCAAAUUCUGACUACUCUCAGACUGCAACAGGAAGAGAUUAAUUUAGAGUCGAAAACAGAUAUUUGCACAAAUAGUUUUUUUUUUACUCACUGCCCAAAGUUAAAUCAGACCAAACUUUUCUUGUU